GUUAUAUAAAGGGGCCAAGUAAGAAGUAAAUUAGAAUUACAGUUAAUUUAAAUAAUUUUUUUCUAAUAAUUAUAUCCUUAAAGGGUAAAAUAUAUAGAUGAGUUGGUGAUUCUUAAGAAAAAAUAUGUGGUAAUGAAGCUGUUAAAUUUUGGGGAUAAACCAGGAUUAGAUACCCUGUUAUACCAAAGUGAAAAACCAAAAAUCUUGAGUAAUAAAAAUAAAUUAGUUUGAAAUUCAAAGAGUUUGGCGGUAUUUUAGUCCAGCUAGAGGAACCUGUUUUAUAAAUGAUACUCCACGUAAUAUCUUUCUUGUUCUGAGAAUUAGUAUUCCAUCAUUAUUAGAUAAUUUGUUUGAUAGAAAUUAUUGGGGUUAGGAAUUUACUAAAUAUAUUAGAUCACGGUGCUGUCUAUGGAUAAGUAUAAAUGGGUUACAAUAAAUUAUAAUUUAUUACGGAGCUAUAAGUGAAAUAUAAUAGUGAAGGAGGAUUUAAUAGUAAUAUGAGUUUAAUAUGCUUAUAUGAGAGAGGCUCUAAAAUGUGUACAUAUUGCCCGUCGCU
rnacentral:rRNA from 1 species